rnacentral:misc_RNA from 1 species
AAGUUGUAAUAAGGUUUUUGUAGAUAAACUUGUGGAAGGAUUAUUAUUAAAGAUUGAGAGAUCAAUUUUAAUUUGUUCGAUGUUUAGAGAUUCUAAAUUCUGAAUUGGUUAAUUUUUUGUGAAUUAAAAAAUUUUUUCAUUUUGGUAGUUGGGUUUAACCGCUUGUUAGUUUGUUGCUAGUAUUAAUUUUUUAAACUUGUUGUUAAAUAUUAUCUGAUGAUUAAAAUUUUCAAAUAAAAAUUAAAAUUUUUAAUAAUGGAUUUUUUGGUUUUU